UCCCUCUUUUUUUUUCUUUCUUUCUUCUUGUUUUUGAAAGGCCUCUGGUCUUUGUUUACUAUAUUAUCAUGCAAAAGCUCCUUGGUCACCACAAAGGAAAACAGUCCAUAGGCAUUCCCUAUCCAUACGAUUGAGCUAAGAACAAAAUAUUGAAAAGGAAAUUUCCUUAGCGAUGUAUCAAUAUUUCUAGAAUUGGCUAGAUAGAAUUAUUCUUACCGACAUGUAUGUACGUUUUGCUGUUGGAGAAAAGACACAAAAAAAAACACUGUCUGAACAAGCAUCUUGAUGGAAACUUUAUCAAGAUAUGGUCAAGAGAUUGUUUGCACAUACAAGUCUAAAGGAACAAAUAUGGCACUUCUAUCAGCUGAUCCUGCUGAAGGAUAACAUGAAAUUCUGCACAUGAAAUCGAAUUUGAAGCAUCAAGUGGGUCUGCUAGACAGAAAUCAGGUCAGCUACUUGAUAUCUGUUUCGUUACCACCGUCUGGCUCGAACAACACAGGUUCAAAAAUUUAUCUGUCACUGCACGAUCCUUGCUAUGUCACUGUUCUCUUGGUCAUGUAGAUUGAGCCAUGAUAGACCGAGUCUAGUGAAUGGACUGCCUCUUUUCCUCCUGCCACCAUUCAUUUACAAACGCAUGUUUUACCAUGCUUCAAACAGAAUCAACGAUCCAAAAGAUUGUAGAGGAAUAUUUGCAGCAGUGCAAUAUGUCUGCAUCCAUAUUUUGCAGUCAAACCUGUUCUCUUACGGACCCUAGUCAACCAAACAGUUCCCAAGUCUGGUUUGACGACACCACCUCCUACUACACCAGUCCACAUGCAAGCCGUCCAAGUGCCCCUUUAAAUAUCCAUCCAUCCCUCACUCUCCAUUCACAUCCCUCCUUAUACUAAACCACUCUAUCCUAUUCAUCUUUCUCCUCAAAACUUAAACUGCUGAACUAGUUGGUUUUUGGACUGUAGAUGAGCCAUGAAACCAUCAGUUCUGCAGUACCUGAACUUUUUCGUUUUAUUUUCCUUUGGUGUAGUCACCACCUCCCACACAACUGACCAAGAUGUGCUCGCAACCCUCAGUAAACUACCCCUCGAUGGCCAUUUCAGCUUCCAUGAUGUGUCUACUGCUGCCUGGGACUUUGGCAAUCUCUCUAGUUUCAUGCCAGCUGCUGUGCUUCAUCCAGGAUCAGUAGACGACAUUGCCACUACGGUCAGGCAUGUCUUCUUGGGGGGAGAGCACUCCAUGCUCACCGUGGCAGCCCGUGGGCAUGGACACUCACUCCGAGGGCAGUGCCAGGCAGCUGGAGGGAUUGUCAUUAAAAUGGAGUCCCUCCCUAAUGACAGGAUGCAGGUGCAGUCUGGUGCAUCGCCCUAUGUUGAUGCCUCAGGAGGAGAACUCUGGAUAAAUGUCCUG
rnacentral:lncRNA from 1 species